rnacentral:tRNA from 1 species
AAAGAAUUAGUUAAUUUAUAACAUAAGUAUGUCAAUCUUAAAUUAUUAUUUUUAUAAUAUUCUUUU